AUGGAAUUCACAGGCAACCUCGAUGAAGAUAACGAGCUGGAAAGUCUAAUUGACUCACAGCUUGUUGCCCUUCAUCAGGGAAACUCGGCCCGUUCAUCCUCGAUGACCUUCCUGACCAGCACUGAAGGGGAAGAUUCACUUGGCUUUGAAUGCCAGAUGAUUGCAACCUUCCAGGAACAACUUUGUUGUGAACUGGUGGGUUCCGUGGACCGUCGGUGGGGCAACAAUACGAACAAACCCCUAAAUAACUACAACGAACGUGCCUUCGGCAUAGACACGCAGAACACUAUCUAUCACCAUCAGGAAGAUCCCGACCUCCAAGAGCAGGUCAUUGCCUAUGUCACUGGCGCACUGGACCUCCUCAACCAACGUGAUAGAAAUGACGAGGUUGAUGGGGACUAUGAGGUUUCUAGCCCUUCUUAG
rnacentral:rRNA from 1 species